rnacentral:lncRNA from 1 species
AUGAUGUCGUCGUCUGCGUCGUCUACGUCGUCUGCGUCGUCUACGUCGUCUGCGUCGUCGUCGCCCGAAGACACAUUGGUUUUCGGAUAAUAACUUUAGUUUAAGUGAAUAGAUCUUCAUGAAACUUUUUCAGAAGGUUCAAUACCACAAAAGGAAGGUUGGGAUUGAUUUUGGGGAUGAUGGUCCCAACCGAUUAGGAAUUAGGGGCCCAAAGGGGCCCAAAACAAGCAUUUUUUUAGUUUCAGGAUAAUAACUUGUGUAGAAGUAUUUCAAUUGCUCUGAAAUCAUAUCGCAAUGUUUAAAACCACAAGUAGAAGGUUUGGAUUCAUUUUAGGGGUAAUGGGCCAAAGUUUAGGAAUUAAGGGCCAAAAAGGGGUCAAAACAAGCAUUUUUCUAGUUUCAAGACAAUAACUUAUGUGUAAUUGUAUGGAUCUCUCUGAAAUUGUACUACAA